UAAAGGAAGCGAUUCCGGCUACGGAUGGUCAUGCGUCGCAUUAGCUAGUUGGCGGGGUAACGGCCCACCAAGGCGACGAUGCGUAGGGGUUCUGAGAGGAAGGUCCCCCACACUGGUACUGAGACACGGACCAGACUCCUACGGGAGGCAGCAGUGAGGAAUAUUGGUCAAUGGCCGCAGGGCUGAACCAGCCAAGUCGCGUGAGGGAUGACGGUCCUAUGGAUUGUAAACCUCUUUUGUCAGGGAGCAAAGGGCGCCACGUGUGGCGCUUUGCGAGUACCUGAAGAAAAAGCAUCGGCUAACUCCGUGCCAGCAGCCGCGGUAAUACGGAGGAUGCGAGCGUUAUCCGGAUUUAUUGGGUUUAAAGGGUGCGCAGGCGGAAUGUCAAGUCAGCGGUAAAAUUUCGGGGCUCAACCCCGUCGUGCCGUUGAAACUGGCGUUCUUGAGUGAGCGAGAAGUAUGCGGAAUGCGUGGUGUAGCGGUGAAAUGCAUAGAUAUCACGCAGAACUCCGAUUGCGAAGGCAGCAUACCGGCGCUCAACUGACGCUCAUGCACGAAAGCGUGGGUAUCGAACAGGAUUAGGUACCCUGGUAGUCCACGCAGUAAACGAUGAAUACUAACUGUCCGGGCAGAAUGAUGCCUGG
rnacentral:rRNA from 1 species